GCUGCUGAGUGCGUGGUCGCAGGUUCACUUCGGUGUUCCGGGCCGUGUAUGACUCGUGUGAUGGUGACUCUGAAUAACAAUUUUUUUGACAAGCGCAAGUACCCCUCUUAUGAGUUGGGACGGCGCUACCACUUUCGAGUGUCUGACUUAUCAGCUAUCAACCGUUCGUUAUGUGCGACCGAUGGCUUUGACGGGUAACGGGGAAUCAGAGUUCGAUUCCGGAGAGGCAGCCUGAGAGACGGCUACCACGUCCAAGGACGGCAGCAGGCACGCAAAUUACCCAAUCCCAGCACCUGGGGGAGGUAGUGACGAAAUCUAACGAUGCGGGCGCCCUUUCUGGGGCCCCGCAAUCGGAAUGGCCACUUUCUAAAAAACCUGUCGAGAACCUACUGAAGGGCAAGUCUGGUGCCAGCAGCCGCGGUAAUUCCAGCUUCAGUAGCAUCUAUUAAAGUUGCUGCGGUUAAAAGGCUCGCAGUUGAAUGUCAGUACAGAGCGCAGGUCAGGUGGACGCUGGGGCGUGAGAAUACAAGGCGUGUUUUCGAUGUGUUUGUUGUGUUUCUUAUCUCUCGUUCAUUGCGUGUGCUUCGUGUGUGUCUCUGCCUUCCCUCCGGGGUUGGUAUGCCUCGCGUCGUUCUGCACGUGUGUCGGGAGGAGGGCGCAGCUUACCAUGUUGUUCGUGCGUCUCUCACAAGCCCCCGUCCGUGACAAGCCUCCUCGCUUGUGUACAUAUCUGGAAUCGUUAUGUUAUAUAAUGGAGUGACGUGUAUAAUGCGCGCGCUACAGCGUGUUUGUUCGCGCGCGUGUGUGGGUGGGGAGUGUACCAUUUACUUGUGCCUCUCUGUCUCGCGCGUGUGUGGGUGGAUGCGUUGUGCGUGUAGCGGCAUGUCGUUUGAGCUCCUUCGGUUUUAUGGUCACCUUGAGUAAAUCAGAGUGCUCAAAGCAGUCGUAAGGGCCUUGUGCCCUGUGAACAGUCUUGACAGACUGACUUGAUUUUGCAUGGCAUGUCGGAAGACGACGUCGUGUGCUGGCUCAAAGAUAUUUGAAAUCAGUGGUACAAGCCAGCCUCGACGUACUGAUUAACAGGUUCGGUCGAGGGCAUUGGUAUUGCGGGGCGAGAGGUGAAAUUCUAUGACCCCCGCAAGACCUCCUGAAGCGAAAGCAUCUGCCAAGGAUGUUCUCACUAAUCAUGAACGAAAGUUAGAGGAUCGAAGGCGAUCAGAUACCGCCCUAGUUCUAACCGUAAACGAUGCCAACCAUCAAUCCGCGCGUAGCACCCUUCUUAACGGGCUCGGCGGGCAGCUCCCCACUCACGGGAAACCAGAGUCUCUGGGUUCCGGGGGGAGUCUGGUUGCAAAGCUGAAACUUAAAGGAAUUGACGGAAAGGCACCACCAGGCGUGGAGCCUGCGGCUUAAUUUGACUCAACACGGGCCAUCUCACCAGGCCAGCACUCUUGUAUGAUUGACAGAUUGAGAGUUCUUUCUCGAUUCAGUGGAUGGUGGUGCAUGGCCGUUCUUAGUUGGUGGAGUGAUCUGUCUGGUUAAUUCCGAUAACGAACGAGACUCUCCCCUGCUAACUAGUCGGUUGGAUCUUGUGUUAAAUGUGAGUCGUG
rnacentral:rRNA from 1 species